GAUAAUUACUACAGCAUACACCCAACAAGCUUUGGGCAAUUUGUUAAAUACUUUGUCAGAAAAUGAAGUUAAUCUAGACAAAUCUAUCCAACUUGUAAGAGACAUAUUUGCAAUGUCUACAAAAUCUUUGGACCAAGUGGCACGGGCUGGUGCAUUUCACCACUUAAUUCGUAGAAAAGCUACUUUAGAGGACACAGGUCUUAAUGAUAUUAAAGAGCUUAAGCAUCCACUUGUAUCAUUACCUUUGACAAAGUCAGGUGUCAUUGGUGACAAUAUGGAACAAACUCUUAAAGACAGGGUUGACAAAAAUAAACAAUUAAAAGAGUUACUGCCUGAAUUACAUGUAAAUAAAACUUUUUCAGUGAAAAGGAAAGCUACAGGCAAUCAAUUUUCCAAUGAUUGGUCUAAGAAACCAAAAUUUGACAAUGCACAAGGUUCUACUUUCACAGGUGCUAAGUCUAAUACACAGCGUACAGUACAAAGAACUAGUACAGUAACAAGACCAGAUAAAGACGACAAGAGUUCUGGUACAACGAACAAUUUUCGUCGCUUUAACAACCCAUUUCAUGCCAAGGGGCAACAAAAGAAAUGACUAUCAGAUCAAGGCGUUGCAGUGAUAUACAGGCCUUACGUUUGGGAGAUGGAAAUAUAUCUGUACAUAGCAGAGGAGUUUAUUUUAUUAGAGAAGGAUUGUCAAAACAAGACCGUCCUGGACAUUUUGGUGCUAAGAUUUUUGUACCUGCCUUUGAUGCAGAAAAGCUUCUUGACCCUAAAAGGGCAUUAACGUACUAUUUAAAGAGCACUGACAAUUUUCGUGGUGAAAACAGACAAGAUAGUAAAUUGUUCUUAGCAAUCAGUAAUCCACAUAAGCCAAUUUCAAGUCAAACAAUUUCAUCAUGGAUUGUGAGUACCAUUCAGAUGGCAUAUAACGACAAAAAGAAAUCUGUUAAGGCUCAUUCGACAAGAGCUAUUGGUCCUUCUUGGGCUCUUUAUAAAGGUGCAUCAAUGAAGAACAUCAUGGAAGCUGCUGAUUGGAGCAGGGAAUCCACAUUCACCAAAUUUUACUUACGUCACAUAGACCCUCAUGUUUUAUCGAAGUAAAAAAAAAAAAAAAAAAAAAAAAAAAAGAAGAAAAAUACAUAAAAUUCGAAAAAAAAGAAGAAAAAUGUGUACAGUUUUUUAACUUGUAAUAUAGUUUGUAUAGUGUUGGAACUAUUCAUAUCCGACGAGAUGCGAUGCAAGUUUUUAAACCUUUGUGUGUGAGAUGAAAAAGACAUCUAUUUAAUGUGUUUAAAGUCAAACAUUUAGACUUUGUAUAUAGUGUAAUAUAGUGUACAUUAUUUGAACAAAAGAAUUACAGUCCACCGCUUGAGUUGGGACUGCUUUAGAAUCUAUGGAUAUCCAUAAUGUAAGGAUAUCAG